GCAAACAUCUUCAACUGGGGGGAGACUUGAGCAGUUUGUAACCUCAGUAGUCACAUUUUCCGUUGAGUCGACAAAGACAAUGAGCGAGCAGUGAACAUCUACCGUGUUAAGAGUGUCGUGGCAGUGUUUGUUUCUGAGUGUCACCAGAAGGCCAUAAGUGUACUGUACUAAGGUUAUGUAACUGAGUGUUGUUUGUAAUUGUGACAUAUUUUGGAUGUAUUUGCUUUGAUUUCAAUUGGAAGUGUUUUAGUUCUCAGUUGACAUCAGUUUUGACAAGUUAAUUUAUUUGUAUAACGCGAGUUGUGUUAUAUGUACGAGUAUAUUGUAUUUUGUGUUGUUUCUACUAGUUUAUGAUUUUAAUGCCAAGGGCAUUAGUUCUAGCAGUCUAGACCUACAGGCAUGGUCAGUAAGUGUGUUUUAUGUUUAUUUGAGAUCUAAUACAUGUAUAAUUUCAGCAAUUGCUUUGAUGGGUUGAGGACUCUGUGGUGAUAUGGACAUCUGUGAAAGAACGCAAUCUUUGUAAUUGAUUGUUGAAAAUACAUACAAUGAGCGAGCAGUGAACAUCUGCCGUGUUAAGAGUGUCGUGGCAGUGUUUGUUUCUGAGUGUCACCAGAAGGCCAUAAGUGUACUAAGGUUAUGUAACUGAGUGUUAUUUGUAAUUGUGACAUAUUUUGGAUGUAUUUGCUUUGAUUUCAAUUGGAAGUGUUUUAGUUCUCAGUUGACAUCAGUUUUGACAAGUGAAUUUAUUUGUCUAACGCAAGUUGUGUUAUAUGUACGAGUAUAUUGUAUUUUGUGUUGUUUCUACUAGUUUAUGAUUUUAAUGCCAAGGGCAUUAGUUCUAGCAGUCUAGACCUACAGGCAUGGUCAGUAAGUUUGUUUUAUGUUUAUUUGAGAUCUAAUACAUGUAUAAUUUCAGCAAUUGCUUUGAUGGGUUGAGGACUCUGUGGUGAUACCGAUCACAGCAACGGUCGUGAGCCCCAGUGUCCUACCCUGGGACGCAUUCCUGGCAUCUAUGGCCCACAGUGUUUGAUGUAUAUGUUUGGAGAAAAUUAAUUGGAAAUAAUUAUCCCAUGUUGGGUAGUGGACCCAUGUAUGAGUUGGUUUCAGUGAGUGAAGUAUCAUCUGUAAGUUUGUCAUGUAUGUAAUGAAAUGUAUCACCAGUAACGUGGGUGAAGUAAGUACCCACUGGGAUUGGCAAUUGAGAGAAGCCAGGAGUUGUCAUGUAACUAUGUACUGUAAUGUAACACCAGUGAGGUUAUGUGUAGUAAGAGUACAGGAUCUGAGUAAGUGCAGUGGAGUAGGCCGAGGAGUUGCACCUUGGAGUGGUAUGUUAAUAAUAUAUUUUUCCCUUUG